CUUCAUUUCGAACAGUUAUGAGACUGAAACUCGAUGAAAAUCAACAGAAACACGACUUGAAAUAGCAAAUUGAAUAAAGUUAAAUAUUUUCAUUCAAUAUCUAUUUUCUUAUUAAUUGUUCCUGCAAAUAUUGUAAUCAAACUUUAGAAUUAUGGUUUGUCCUUCUUGCUUUUUGGGCCCUGUUAUGGUCAUUUUGCUACUAAUUUGGACCAAAUAUUUUCAACCAAUAUUCCAACCAAUUCUUGAUUCUUUAUUUACAGUGAAAGAGGUUAAGAGUGCAAAAACGGGCGAUGAUAAAUUAGAAGAACUGUCAUCAAACAAGAGUAAAAAAUCAACCAAAGCUGAUUAAACCAUUAUUGGAUUUUUCGCCUAAUCCUUGUUCUCAACAUUUUGGCCUGAACUGUUGCUUAAGCCUAACUGUUUAAUGUCCCAUAUUGAUGACAAAUGUGAAUCCUAGUUUUGGUAUUUUCACAACGGUUUUUAUACGCCGUGAUUUAAUGUCAAACAUUGUUUAUGUGGUAAAAGGUACAAUAAUAUUGAAAAACAUUUGAAAUAUUUAGUUGGAA